UCCCUGGUGGCUCAGAGAUUAAAGCAUCUGCCUGCAAUGCGGGAGACCUGGGUUUGAUCCCUGGGUGGGGAA
rnacentral:tRNA from 1 species